rnacentral:tRNA from 1 species
GCGCUGGUAGCUCAAUUGGACAGAGCAACGGCCUUCUAAGCCGUAGGUUAUGGGUUCGAUUCCCGUCCAGCGCACCA